rnacentral:rRNA from 1 species
GACGAACGCUGGCGGCGUGCUUAACACAUGCAAGUCGAACGAAGUGGCGAACGGGUGAGUAACGCGUAAUCAACCUGCCCUUCAGAGGGGGACAACAGUUGGAAACGACUGCUAAUACCGCAUACUGAAGGAGGGGAGUGCGUCUGAUUAGCUAGUUGGAGGGGUAACGGCCCACCAAGGCGACGACGGGUAGCCGGCCUGGGAGGGCGACCGGCCACAUUGGGACUGAGAUACGUCCCAAACUCCUACGGGAGGCAGCAGUGGGGAAUAUGGCACAAUGGGGGAAACCCUGAUGCAGCAACGCCGCGGGCGGGAUGACGGCCUUCGGGUUGUAAACCGCUUUCAGCCAUGACGCGGUAGUGGCAGAAGAAGCACCGGCUAACUACGUGCCAGCAGCCGCGGUAAUAC